ensembl:lncRNA novel transcript
AGGCGCGCGGUGGCAGAGGAGAGGAAAGGAGGGCGUGGCUUCCUGCAUUUGGCGGGAUCUGUGUCUCUCGCUGGUGCUGGCACAGGAGCUUGGGAUCUGUCUCCUCUUUCGCCUCCUGCACCUUGAGAGCCCUGGGCUACUCUGUCACAGCCCCUGUUGCCCUGCGAUCUGUAGGUCCUUGGGGACGCAUAGUUAAGGUGCCAGGACAUCCUGGAAGCUGGGAAAUGAUUUCUUCCAGACCAUGGCUGGAGAAGGAAAGAAGGUGUGUUUUGCCUGAUUCAGGGACUAUAGAGAGAACCAAGUUCUGCAGGCCUGUCAUCUAAGUCUCAGCUGGGUGUCACAAACUCUGAACUGGAUUCCAAGGCUUUCAUGAAUGCACUUAUGUUUGCUGUGGCAGCUGCAUUAUGUCGUGGGGGAUGUGGAUGCAGAACCUCCCAUUCUGUCGUCUUGCUUAUGUUACUCUCCUUUAUGUUUCACUUUCUCAAAUGAAUGUCAAGCAGGUGAUUUUCAGAUUCAAAAGUUCUAAAAUAAAUUGCUCAAAUUUACACAUUAUGUAAGCUGUUAAUAAAAUUUCUUGUAGGUGCUACAUAUUUAUUAAAAUUUUUGGUUGUAAUUUUAAGCUCACUGUAGGCAGAAAGGAAUCAUUAAGAUUUCUAUUCUUUUUUAGUCUGUAUCUAAAUGACCAUAUAUUUUAAUUCCAAAUAUUUACUUUAUACUUCAGUAAUGCUCAUUGUAUUUUGCAAAAUUUAUAUUGUUCUUUUAUUUGAAAAUAUAAGGCUUUUUUUAGCUCCUGAAAUCUAUAUUAUAGUCAUAUAGUUUUAUUAUAGUAUUUGAUAAGAAGAGCAGCAACAUAUUGAGAACAGAAUAAAAUUCUGCUGUCUUUUUAAUGAUUAUUUAUUAAAUUCUUCUCAUUAAAGCCUAUUAUUAAUGAUUGUAAUGUAUUUACUGUAUAAUUUUACUGCAAUUUAUUAAAUGCCAAUGACUUCUAAUGUCUGCUUUUCAUGACUGCACACAGUUUAAAGCUGUAGAUAUCUAAAGGGUUAUUUUUCAGCCCGGCACGGUGGCUCAUGCCUGUAAUCCCAGCACUUUGGGAGGCCAAGGUGGGUGGAUCACGAGGUCAGGAGAUCAAGACCAUCCUGGCUAACACGGUGAAACCCAGUCUCUACUAAAUAUAGAAAAAAUUAGCCGGGCAUAGUGGCGGGUGCCUGUAUUCCCAGCUACUCGAGAGGCUGAGGCAGGAGAAUGGCGUGAACCCAGUAGGCGGAGCUUGCAGUGAGCCGAGAUGGCACCACUGCACUCCAGCCUGGGCGACAGGGUGAGACUGUCUCAAAAAAAAACAAAAAGGGCUUAUUUUUCAUUGUAUAUUUAUGUUGUAUUCAGGAUUUUAUGCAUUAAAAUCUCUCUUCUUAUUUUCA